UGCCCUUCCGAGAGGCCCCGGCGUACUCCAACCGCCGGCGGCGGCCCCCCAACACGCUGGCCGCCCCCCGGGUCCUGCUGCGCUCCAACAGUGACAACAACCUCAAUGCCAGCGCUCCCGACUGGGCCGUCUGCUCCACGGCCACCUCGCACCGCAGCCUCUCACCCCAGCUGCUACAGCAGAUGCCCAGCAAGCCCGAGGGGGCCGCGAAGACCAUUGGGAGCUACGUGCCCGGGCCCCGCAGCCGGUCCCCAUCGCUGAACAGGCUGGUCGGCGCAGGCGAGGACGGCAAGAGGCCGCAGCCUCUCUGGCAUGUCGGGUCUCCUUUUGCUCCUGGUGCCAACAAGGACUCACUCUCGGCUUUCGAGUACCCGGGGCCCAAGCGGAAGCUCUACAGUGCUGUACCUGGGAGGCUCUUCGUCGCCGUCAAGCCAUACCAACCCCAAGUGGACGGCGAGAUCCCCCUUCACCGUGGCGACAGGGUCAAAGUUCUGAGCAUCGGCGAAGGGGGCUUCUGGGAAGGCAGCGCCCGCGGCCACAUCGGAUGGUUUCCGGCGGAGUGCGUGGAGGAGGUCCAGUGUAAGCCCAGGGACAGCCAGGCAG
rnacentral:sRNA from 1 species